UGUGAGGUGUUGGCCUCCGCCCUCAGGGCUGGCCUGCCGAGCCUACGGGAGCUUGACCUGAGUCUCAAUGAGUUUGAAUACACCACAGCGAACGUGCUGUUGACGAGCAUGACAAGCCCUCAAUGCCAGCUUGAGACAUUGAGGCGGAAAAGAUGUGGUCUGACAUACCGGCAUUGCGAGGCUCUUGCCUCUGUCCUCGAAUCAGGCGCCGCAUGCCUCCGUGAGCUGGACCUGAGUGACAACGACCUGGAUGACCACGCGGUCGAGAGGCUCUCGUCCGGCCUCAUGAGUACUGUGCCCUAAGAACCCUGAGACUGAAGCAGUGUUGUCUGAUGGCUGACGCCUGUGCAGGUCUGUGGUCCGCUCUGUGCUCGACCCACUGCCCCCUGACUGAGCUGGACCUGAGCUGUAACACCCUGCAGGACUCAGGAGUGGUAGUUCUCUGUCAAGGGCUGGAGAGUCCGAACUGCAAGCUGGAGAUGCUCAGGUUAUCUUUCUGUUGCGUCUCUGAGCGUGGCUGCAUCGCCGUGGCAGCGGCCUUGAUCUCGUGACCCGCCUGCCUGAGGGCGCUUGACCUGAGCUACAGUCACCCCGGAGACGCAGGGAUGCGGGCACUCAGGGCAAGAGAGCAAGACCCCAACUGCCACCUCAUGAC